rnacentral:piRNA from 1 species
UAAUAACAUGUGUACUGCCCGAAGU